GUGCUGAGCCCUGGGGACAGCAAGGAAAGCCUUCUCUGAUCUCCCAGUCUGCUUUUAGAAGGUGCAGAAUGAUGGAAUAAUCCGACUGGGCUGGUUUUGCCAAGGUGAUUUCCAUGUCCCAGCCCGUGCGAAUGAGUCAGCAGGCAUUGAGCAAGCACCCCCUGGGACUGAAUAUUGUGCUAGGUUUUGGGGGGCGCAGUGAUGCGGGGAAAACAAGGACACCAGGCAUGGUACCUGCCACUGAACCCAGUUGGGUAUCAAAGGCUCACAUGCACAGAAUACAUGAGGAAGAUGACUGGCCGGCGCCCUCGGAGCUGCGGGAGGUCAGAGGCGCCGCCUGUGGCUUGGGAAGACAGCGUGGAGGAGGUGAGCCCUGAGGAGGAUGGGGAGGGCUCAGAUGGGGAGGAGGGCAUUCCUGAUGAGGGGGCAACGCAGACAGGGGACCCACGGUGGGUCCAUGGGAAUUGUGAAAAUAAUAAAAGCAAUAAUGUAAGCCAGCUGUCUGCUGGAGAAUCCUGGCUCCCGGUAUCUAGAUGACCUCAACACAGCACAACAUACGUCCCUGCCUUUUCCAAGGUUCUUGUGUGUUCUGAGUGAAGGGGUGUUGGCUUCCUCAAGUCUUCCAGGAUCUGGG
ensembl:lncRNA